UGGGGAAUAUUGCACAAUGGGGGGAACCCUGAUGCAGCCAUGCCGCGUGAAUGAAGAAGGCCUUCGGGUUGUAAAGUUCUUUCGGUGACGAGGAAGGUUGGUAGGUUAAUAGCCUAUCAAAUUGACGUUAAUCACAGAAGAAGCACCGGCUAACUCCGUGCCAGCAGCCGCGGUAAUACGGGGGGUGCGAGCGUUAAUCGGAAUAACUGGGCGUAAAGGGCACGCAGGCGGUGACUUAAGUGAGAUGUGAAAGCCCCGAGCUUAACUUGGGAAUUGCAUUUCAUACUGGGUCGCUAGAGUACUUUAGGGAGGGGUAGAAUUCCACGUGUAGCGGUGAAAUGCGUAGAGAUGUGGAGGAAUACCGAAGGCGAAGGCAGCCCCUUGGGAAUGUACUGACGCUCAUGUGCGAAAGCGUGGGGAGCAAACAGGAUUAGAUACCCUGGUAGUCCGCGCUGUAAACGAUGUCGAUUUGGGGAUUGGGCUUUGAGCUUGGUGCCCGUAGCUAACGUGAUAAAUCGACCGCCUGGGGAGUACGGCCGCAAGGUUA
rnacentral:rRNA from 1 species